rnacentral:misc_RNA from 1 species
UACGGAGGGGGCUAGCGUUGUUCGGAAUUACUGGGCGUAAAGCGCACGUAGGCGGGCAUUUAAGUCGGGGGUGAAAUCCCGGGGCUCAACCCCGGAACUGCCUUCGAUACUGGGUGCCUAGAGGUCGAGAGAGGUGAGUGGAAUGGCGAGUGUAGAGGUGAAAUUCGUAGAUAUUCGGAGGAACACCAGUGGCGAAGGCGGCUCACUGGCUCGAUACUGACGCUGAGGUGCGAAAGCGUGGGGAGCAAACAGG